rnacentral:rRNA from 1 species
GACGAACGCUGGCGGCGUGCUUAACACAUGCAAGUCGAACGGAAAGGCCUGCUUUCCCUUGUGGAUUGCGGGUACUCGAGUGGCGAACGGGUGAGUAACACGUGAGUGAUCUGCCCCCAACUUGGGUAUAAGCCUGGGAAACUGGGUCUAAUUCCCGAUAGGACUGCAGGGUGGUGCCUGUGGUGGAAAACGAUUUUCUAGUGGUUGGGUAUGAGCUCGCGGCCUAUCAGCUUGUUGGUGGGGUAAUGGCCUACCAAGGCGGCGACGGGUAGCCGGCCUGAGAGGGUGGACGGCCACAUUGGGACUGAGAUACGGCCCAGACUCCUACGGGAGGCAGCAGUGGGGAAUAUUGCACAAUGGGCGGAAGCCUGAUGCAGCGACGCCGCGUGGGGGAUGACGGCCUUCGGGUUGUAAACUCCUUUCGACCGCGAGGAAGCCACCUGGUUGGAAGGGUGGUGACGGUAGUGGUAGAAGAAGCACCGGCUAACUACGUG